rnacentral:lncRNA from 1 species
GGAAAAACAUAAAAAUGCAAACUGGGUAUUUGUGAUGUCUCAUCAAACUGGCUUCCUAUCAAGUAGGAUUCUUCCAGAUUUCCCUAACAUUUGAGCUGUGAAGCAGCUUGAGUGAAAGCCAAGCUUCAGAAUAGUGGGGAUAGUUCGACUGGACCAAAAAUGUGUUUGUCCAGCUGAAACUAGAGAUUGGGAGCAAACCCAAGUGAUAAAGUCAUUAUGGAGACUGAUUGCGAUGCUUUUUCCAGUUGGAACAAGUGAAAUGGCAGAAAACAGAGUAAACACGUGCCAGUUCAUGGUCCAUGAGGGGUGUUCUUCCUUUGCUGAUAAGACCCCAAGAGACAGAACUGCCCAAGAACCAGCCAUUUGUCCGGAGCAAAGAGUCAGUGAAGAAAGGCCGCACUGUGGGGAGCUGACCUCUGACUCUGGAGCAGCGCUCCAGUGGAGGUUCCUGCACUCUCCUGGAGGCAAAGAAAUCUCCAAAGUCAUUUUUCUAUUAAGCACUGGAGCCCCAUUAUAUAUGGAUAUAGUUGAUGCUAUGGAUUUAUUGAAAUGGUUAAAUGUAUCUCAUUGAUUUAGCCAUAUUCUCCUUGACAAGAGUUGCUCACUCUGUGAGCAUUUAUGAACA